UGAGCAACCUGCCCUUAGCUCUGGGAUAACCCCGGGAAACCGGGGCUAAUACCGGAUACGAGUCCGAGCGGCAUCACACGGACUGGAAAGUUUUUCGGCUAAGGAUGGGCUCGCGGCCUAUCAGCUUGUUGGUGGGGUAAUGGCCCACCAAGGCGACGACGGGUAGCCGGCCUGAGAGGGCGACCGGCCACACUGGGACUGAGACACGGCCCAGACUCCUACGGGAGGCA
rnacentral:rRNA from 1 species